UACAGAGGGGGCAAGCGUUGUUCGGAAUUACUGGGCGUAAAGGGCGCGUAGGCGGCCUUGUAAGUCCUGUGUGAAAUCCCCCCGGCUCAACUGGGGAACUGCACAGGAGACUGCUUGGCUUGAGUUCGGGAGAGGGAAGCGGAAUUCCGGGUGUAGCGGUGAAAUGCGUAGAGAUCGGGAGGAAGGCCGGUGGCGAAGGCGGCGCUCUGGAACAUUUCUGACGCUGAGGCUCGAAAGCGUGGGGAGCAAACAGG
rnacentral:rRNA from 1 species